rnacentral:rRNA from 1 species
UACGUAGGCAGCGAGCGUUGUUCGGAGUUCCUGGGCGUAAAGAGUGCGUAGGCGGUUUUCUAAGUUUGGUGUGAAAUCUCCCGGCUCAACUGGGAGGGUGCGCCGAAGACUGGAAGGCUAGAGUGUGGGAGAGGUAAGCGGAAUUCCUGGUGUAGCGGUGAAAUGCGUAGAUAUCAGGAGGAACACCUGCGGUGUAGACGGCUUACUGGACCAUAACUGAUGCUGAGGCACGAAAGCGUGGGUAGCAAACAGG